rnacentral:rRNA from 1 species
UGGGGAAUAUUGCACAAUGGGCGCAAGCCUGAUGCAGCCAUGCCGCGUGUGUGAAGAAGGCCUUCGUGUUGUAAAGCACUUUCAGCGGGGAGGAAGGCGAUAAGGUUAAUAACCUUGUCGAUUGACGUUACCCGCAGAAGAAGCACCGGCUAACUCCGUGCCAGCAGCCGCGGUAAUACGGAGGGUGCAAGCGUUAAUCGGAAUUACUGGGCGUAAAGCGCACGCAGGCGGUCUGUCAAGUCGGAUGUGAAAUCCCCGGGCUUAACCUGGGAACUGCAUUCGAAACUGGCAGGCUAGAGUCUUGUAGAGGGGGGUAGAAUUCCAGGUGUAGCGGUGAAAUGCGUAGAGAUCUGGAGGAAUACCGGUGGCGAAGGCGGCCCCCUGGACAAAGACUGACGCUCAGGUGCGAAAGCGUGGGGAGCAAACAGG